CAGUAGCCGCGGUAAUACGAAGGGUGCAAGCGUUAAUCGGAAUUACUGGGCGUAAAGGGUGCGUAGGCGGUUGUUUAAGUCUGUUGUGAAAUCCCCGGGCUCAACCUGGGAAUGGCAAUGGAAACUGGACGGCUAGAGUGUGUCAGAGGAUGGUGGAAUUCCCGGUGUAGCGGUGAAGUGCGUAGAGAUCGGGCGGAACAUCAGUGGCGAAGGCGGCCAUCUGGGACAACACUGACGCUGAAGCACGAAAGCGUGGGGAGCAAACAGGAUUAGAUACCCCCGUAGUCCCUGUCUCUUAUAC
rnacentral:rRNA from 1 species